CAUCUUCUUCCUGCCUCCAGAAGAGGAGUUCUCGGAGGUGGAGACCUUCUACUAUGAACAUGUAAGGUGCUCCAGGAGCCCGCAGCUCCCUUUGGAACACUGGGGCUGUGGGAUGCCCGCAGUUGGUACCCGAAGGGCUCUGCUCUUGUCCCUGCAGGCACUGGAAGCCAUGGAUGGCAUGCUCAAGAGCCUGGUCGUCAACUCUGCAGACCCCGAGGCCGGCGAGGAGCUGAAGAGCAUCCUGCAGGUCUGCCCUAUGUGGGAUACUCCUCAUCCAUAGGGACCGUGCCUUGGUCCUUGCGGCCAGAGCAUCACCCGCAGCGAGGGGACCAAACCCUCAUCGCCUGCAUCCCAGGGAUGCUCCAACGGGAGCUGCAAUGGGAGCGGGAUGGGUCCAGCCCCUGCUGCAGCCCCGGGGCUCACCCGAGGCUUCUCCCCCUUGCCCAGCUCCUGCUGUGCUUCAGCUGCAACCCCAGCAGCACUGUGAGGAACCGGGCCCUGGGCAGGAUCAAGGCCCUGAGCCGGGUCCUGCGACUGCGCCACUACACGCUGAAGGUAAGGACGGUGCGGCAGCGACCCCUGCGGGGGGAGACGGGAACUGCAGCGCGUCCGGUGCUCGGCCUGGUCCUGGUCCUGCUCCUGCUCCUGCUCCUGGUCCUGUUCCUGCUCCUGGUCCUGUUCCUGGUUCUGCUCCUGCUCCUGGUCCUGCUCUUCCUUCUCCUUUCUUCUUUCUUCCUUCAUUCUUCACGUUCUUCUGGUCCUUCUCCUUCUUUCUCCUCCUCCUUCAUCUUCAUCUCCUCCUCCUCCUCCUCUUUCCUUUCUCAUUUUCCUUGUUUCUCCUUCACCUUCUCCUUUUCCUCCUUCCCUUCUCCCCUUUCUCUUUUCCCCUUCAUCUCCUUCCCCUCCUCUUCCUCCUCCUCCUCCUCCCCUGCUCAUCCUUUGCUUUCCUCCCCUUCCGCUCCCCCCCAGAAGCCAUUCCUGGCCCAGGGAAGCCACUUCAGCCGCCUGGACCCAGAGCAGCUCCUGGGCCAGCUCCUGGGCCAGUUCCUCCUGUUCCGGUUCAGCGAGGACGGGACCAGCAACACGGCCCUGGAUGUGCUCCGGAACAUCUACA
rnacentral:lncRNA from 14 species